rnacentral:rRNA from 1 species
UGGGGAAUAUUGCACAAUGGGCGCAAGCCUGAUGCAGCCAUGCCGCGUGUGUGAAGAAGGCCUUCGGGUUGUAAAGCACUUUCAGCGGGGAGGAAGGCGUUAAGGUUAAUAACCUUGGCGAUUGACGUUACCCGCAGAAGAAGCACCGGCUAACUCCGUGCCAGCAGCCGCGGUAAUACGGAGGGUGCAAGCGUUAAUCGGAAUUACUGGGCGUAAAGCGCACGCAGGCGGUCUGUCAAGUCGGAUGUGAAAUCCCCGGGCUUAACCUGGGAACUGCAUUCGAAACUGGCAGGCUAGAGUCUUGUAGAGGGGGGUAGAAUUCCAGGUGUGGCGGUGAAAUGCGUAGAGAUCUGGAGGAAUACCGGUGGCGAAGGCGGCCCCCUGGACAAAGACUGACGCUCAGGUGCGAAAGCGUGGGGAGCAAACAGG